rnacentral:lncRNA from 1 species
UUAGAUUUAGAUAUGUCAGUUAAAAGUUGGAAAGAAUUGAGAAAGAUAACUGCUGAAUUGUUAACAGUAUUUACCUUUAUGGGGAGGGGAUUUGUGGAAGAUAGGAGAACUUACAUUUCUUUUUUUCUUUUAAAAACAGGGUUUUGCUCUAUAGCCCAGGAUGGAACUGCAGCCUUGAACUCCUGGGCUCAAGCAAUCCUUCUGCCUCAGCCUCCUAAGUAGGUAGUACUAUAGAAUUAAGAGGAUGGAAUAAGAAAAACAAGUAAUUUGAAGAAGUGGAAGAUGC